UCACAUGUGUCUGUGAAGAGUGACGAGUCAAAGGGUGAAGCACCAAACUUCAGUGAAGAAACAUCACGAACCAAAUGGCUUCAGUAUGAAACAUUAGAUCCAGAUUUACAGACUCACAGGAACCACAAGCAUUUUACAGACAGUCUCCUGCAGAUCUUCCAGGAUCUUGAGAGCAAAAUAAUCACAUUUCUGAAGAAAGAACUGGAAAAGUUUAAGAAAAUAUUACAAAAAGAGGACACACAAUACUUUGUGAAGGACUUUAAUGAGAACAGAUGCCGUAACAAAGAAGCAGCUCUUGAUCUCACGCUCUG